GAAUGUGCUCAAACAUAAAGGAAUGACCAACACAACUUCCCAGACUCAUCUCUGUGGAACUGUCUCGGAACAAUGCCAGUAUUAAUUCUUUCAGGGAGGGUCCGAUCAGCAGGCAGACAAAGCACAAGAAUUUGAGGAGGGAGUGUUUGAAAUGGACAUUUGUUUACUGUAAGUGGAUUGCAAUCCAGAGCUUGUUAGAGGGUACACAGAAUGGUCACAGUGUGUGGCACCAGUGGAACUUUCCAGAAAUCUUCCCGCUUAGAUGCCAGGGAAAGGUGUUCACAGGGGUACAAGAAAGGAAUGAGAAGGGUAGAAGUUUCUGGCAAUGAGAAGGGGACAGGUGGGACACUUCACUCUGGAGUCUGAGGUGGGAUUCUGGAAAACAGACACAACCCUGUGCAAGUAUAAGAAACUUCUCAGCCGGGCACAGUGGCUCACACCU